CUACGGGGCGCAGCAGUGGGGAAUAUUGCACAAUGGGCGCAAGCCUGAUGCAGCCAUGCCGCGUGUAUGAAGAAGGCCUUCGGGUUGUAAAGUACUUUCAGCGGGGAGGAAGGGAGUAAAGUUAAUACCUUUGCUCAUUGACGUUACCCGCAGAAGAAGCACCGGCUAACAUCCGUGCCAGCAGCCGCGGUAAUACGGAGGGUGCAAGCGUUAAUCGGAAUUACUGGGCGUAAAGCGCACGCAGGCGGUUUGUUAAGACAGAUGUGAAAUCCCCGGGCUCAACCUGGGAACUGCAUCUGAUACUGGCAAGCUUGAGUCUCGUAGAGGGGGGUAGAAUUCCAGGUGUAGCGGUGAAAUGCGUAGAGAUCUGGAGGAAUACCGGUGGCGAAGGCGGCCCCCUGGACGAAGACUGACGCUCAGGUGCGAAAGCGUGGGGAGCAAACAGGAUUAGAUACCCUAGUAGUC
rnacentral:rRNA from 1 species